GUGGGGAAUAUUGCGCAAUGGGCGAAAGCCUGACGCAGCGACGCCGCGUGGGGGAUGAAGGCCUUCGGGUUGUAAACCUCUUUCAGCAGGGACGAAGCGAAAGUGACGGUACCUGCAGAAGAAGCGCCGGCUAACUACGU
rnacentral:rRNA from 1 species